rnacentral:rRNA from 1 species
CAGGGGUUGAUUAUGGCUCAGAUUGAACGCUGGCGGGAUGCUUUACACAUGCAAGUCGAACGGCAGCACGGACUUCGGUCUGGUGGCGAGUGGCGAACGGGUGGGUAAUGUAUCAGGAACGUGCCUAGUAGCGGGGGAUAACUACGCGAAGGCGCCAGCCAUACCGCCGCCACGCCCAUGUAGGAAAGCGGGGGACCUUCGGGCCUCACUAAUGACAGCCGAUAUCGGAUUAGCCUAUGAUUGGUGGAGUAACGGCUCACCAGGCGGCGAUCCGUAGCUGGUUUGAGAGGACGACCAGCCACACUGGGACUGAGACACGGCCCGACUGCAGGAGGGCAGCAGUGGGAAUUUUGGACAAUGGGGAAACCUGAUCCAGCCAUCCCGCGUGUGCGAUGAAGGCCUUCAGGUUGUAAAACUUUUGGCAGGAAGAAACGGCACGGGAUAAUGCCCCGUGCAACUGAGCGGUACGCAGGAAUACAGCGCAGCUAACUGCGUGCAGCAGCCGCGGUAAUACGUAGGGUGCAAGCGUUAAUCGGAAUUACUGGGCGUAAAGCGUGCGCAGGCGGUUCCGGAAAGAAGAUGUGAAAUCAGGCUUAACUUUGGAACUGCAUUUUAACUACCGAGCUAGAGUGUGUCAGAGGAGGUGGAAUUCCGCGUGUAGCGGUGAAAUGCGUGGUCAUCACGGAGGAACACCGAUGGCGAAGGCAGCCUCCUGGGAUAACACUGACGCUCAUGCACGAAAGCGUGGGAGUAGGCAAGGUUGAGUUACCCCUGGUGAGUCCACGCCCUAAACGAUGUCAACCCAGCUGUUUCGGGGCCUUGAGCCUUGGUAGCGCAGCUUCGCGCGUGAGAGAUUGACCGCCUGCGGGAAUGGUCGCAGAUUAAAACUCAAAGGAAUUGACGGGGACCGCACAAGCGAUGCAGAUUGAUGCUGGAUCCAACAAAUUGCAGCAGACAUGCCUCCCUUGACAUGUCUGAGAUCCCCGAAGAGAUUUAGGGUGCGCCAUAAGAGAACCGGAACACAGGUGCUGCAUGGCUGUCGUCAGCUCUGUGUCGUGAGGAUGUUGGGUUGAUCCCGCAACGAGCGCAACCCUUGUCAUUAGUUGCUACGAAAGGGCACUCCUAAUGGACUUUGCCGGUGACAAACUAGGAGGAAGGAGUGAGAUGACGUCAGUCCUCAUGGCCUUAUGGGUGAACUUCACACGUCAUACAAUGAAUUCCGGGACGAGAGGGUCGCCAACACGAGGGGAACCAAUCCCGAACCCGAUCAUAGUCCGGAUCACAGUCUGCAACUCGACUGGCGUGAGAGUCAGAAUCGCUAGUAAUGUGCGGAUCAGCAUAUCGCUGGUGAACCGUUCCCGGGUCUUGUGCACACCGCCCGUCACACCAUGGAGUGGGUUUUACCAGAAGUAGUUAAGCCUAACAUCAGGAGGCGAUUACGGUAAGUUGUGACUGGUGAAGUCGUAACAAGGUAA